rnacentral:rRNA from 1 species
AUUGAACGCUGGCGGCAGGCCUAACACAUGCAAGUCGAACGAGUGGCGGACGGGUGAGUAAUGUAUGGGAAACUGCCCUAUGGAGGGGGAUAACUACUGGAAACGGUAGCUAAUACCGCAUACCAUCGGAUGUGCCCCGAUGGGAUUAGCUAGUCGGGGGGGUAAAGGCUCACCGAGGCGACGAUCCCUAGCUGGUCUGAGAGGAUGGCCAGCCACACUGGAACUGGAACACGGUCCAGACUCCUACGGGAGGAAGCAGUGGGGAAUAUUGCACAAUGGGCGAAAGCCUGAUGCAGACAUGCCGCGUGUAUGAAGAAGGCCUUCGGGUUGUAAAGUACUUUCAGCGGGGAGGCGUUACCCGCAGAAGAAGCACCGGCUAACUCCGUGCCAGCAGCCGCGGUAAUUC